GGAAAGAUGACAGAGUGGUUUAUUGUGACAGUUUCGAAAACUGUUUUAGUUUAAUUAACUAACGAGGGUUCAAAUCCCUCUCUUUCCU
rnacentral:tRNA from 1 species